AUGCAAGACUACUUCGCGGAGAAUCCAAUAUAUCCACCGCACCUCUUCCGGAGAAGGUACCGAAUGUGUCGAUCCCUCUUUGUGAAAAUUGUUCAAGCUUGCGAGGCAAAUUGUGGAUAUUUUACUCAAAGAAGAAAUGCCGCGGGCUUAAAGGGAUUUAGUGCAUAUCAAAAAAUCUCCCCAGCUAUGCGGGUGAUUGCAUUAUUUAGUUUGCUUCGGUGA
rnacentral:rRNA from 1 species